CACAUGAAUUUUGAGGAUUAAAAAUGAGUUAGAGGCGUUGCUCUAUUAAUCAACUGAAUGCUGGUGAUGAACUCAAAACAUGAUACUGUAAAUGCAGUUCUGUGAUGUGUCACCAGAGGGGUUCCUAAUCAAGACAGAGCUAUGAAGUGUAUUGCUCAGCUGUGAGCAACAGAUAGGCAGUCCUGUUGAGAGGUUGAACUAUAAACAAUUGAAUCAUCUUUACAAUAUUAAUAAACUCAGUUAAGGAACAGCUGAAAGACCGACUCUAGGGUAAGUAUACCAAGAGAAUGGGAGGAGCUAUUUAUGCUAAAAAUUUGGUGCAUAAAAUGAAUAUAACCAGAUCAUAAACUUAUGAUUGAAUUUAGAAUAACUAAUCACCAAAGCAGUGAGUGGGAAGAGACUUCCAUGAGGAAGAGAUAUUUAGGAAGCAUUAUUUACUGAGAGGGUGGUCAAACCCUGGAACAGGCUUCCUAGAGAGGUGGUCAAUGCCCCAAGCCUGUCAGUGUUUAAGAGGCAUUUGGACAAUGCCCUUAUGCUUUAACUUUGUCAGCCCUGAACUGGUCAGGCAGUUGGACUAGAUGAUCAUUUUAGGUCUGUUCCAACUAUUCUAUAUUCUAUUCCCCAGUUGCCCGGCAUAGUGCUAGACUUCAGUCUGUGAGACAAAAGACUUUUUUCUGUCUUUUGCUCCUAUGUCAGCUUCGUAUCUCAUAUAGGUCUAAGAUUUGGUAGACCAAAAUCCAAAUCCUCUCUCCUUACAGAAACUAAGUGCCAAUCUUCUGUUAACAUAAUCAGGAUUUUUGAAUGCUAAAUUACUGUUUCAGUUACUUAAUACGGCCAGCCCCUCUACAUGUGUAGAGCAUAGCUAAAUUCAGGUCCACUACUUCUUCCAAUGCUGUAAAGUGACCUCCAGGACUGAGGCCUAAAUAUGUACUUAGUGGUAUGGUACACUGAAAAGCUGUCCUUUUAAUCCCACUUUAGGUAUGUAAUUUGAAGCUGGGUUUUCACUUACUGUGGGAAAGCAAAUGUAAAGUUAAAGGUAAAAUUUAUCAAUUAUAAGACCUUACUUUGUCUAAUAUCCAAACACCUGAAAGGCGGCCAGGUUUUAUAUUUGCACUGAUACCUCUGAAAUCUUAAGCACAUAAUUUUGCUUUAUUAUAGUAAUGGGAUAACAAAAUACAUUACAAAUGAUUGAACUGGGCAAAAAUGCAUUAGGUCUGGUAUUCUAGCAUUGAAAGGUAUAUAUAGUGAAUGCUUCUUAUUCAAUGGUUACGACUGUGGAAGGGGUUGACGGAAUUAUGAAACCGUCUAAUAAAAUAAAAAUCCAACUGAAAUUGAUACAGUAACUCCAAAGAUUUAAUUUUAUUUAUUCAUCUGUACAACAGAGGUGAGACAAUCCCAGUAACUGAGUUGCACUUAAUUGUCUUAAUUUCUACAAAGUAAAGAGUUGCAGUUCUAUGGAAGAAUUAUUUCCAAACUCUUCAAGUCAAAACCAGAAGCUUUCCACCAAACAAUGCAACUAAGAAAAAUCACAAGGGUUACUUCAAAUCACUCUUCCCCCUGUACCUCAAUCUCAGUGAAAAAUUAAACAGCUCUGCUACCCCCAUUUUGGGUGCAUGGCUGGUGCUAUUAAGACUAUUCGUUAGCCAUGGUUUGCUGGAGUUGGCUGUGCCUCAGACACAACAGUU